rnacentral:rRNA from 1 species
CUACGGGGGGCAGCAGUGAGGAAUUUUGCGCAAUGGGGGAAACCCUGACGCAGCAACGCCGCGUGAGUGAUGAAGACCUUCGGGUCGUAAAGCUCUGUCAAGUGGGAAAAAAUACUUUCGGUUAAUACCCGGAAGGACUGAUGGUACCACUGGAGGAAGCACCGGCUAACUCCGUGCCAGCAGCCGCGGUAAUAGCGGAGGGUGCAAGCGUUGUUCGGAAUUACUGGGCGUAAAGGGCGUGCAGGCGGCCUGGAAAGUCAGGUGUGAAAGCCCUGGGCUCAACCCAGGAAGUGCAUUUGAAACUGCCAGGCUAGAGUAUGGGAGAGGAGAGUGGAAUUCCCAGUGUAGAGGUGAAAUUCGUAGAUAUCAGGAGGAACACCCGUGGCGAAGGCGAUUCUCUGGACCAAUACUGACGCUGAGACGCGAAAGCGUGGGGAGCAAACAGGAUUAGAUACCCCCGUAGUC